rnacentral:misc_RNA from 1 species
AUCACCUCUCAAGCCCGGCUUGCUGUUGAAUCUCGAUUAUAUUAUCGGUAUAAUCGAUUCCAAAGAUAAUGAGGCGUCUGUGAGGACCCCAGUACACUGAGCUUUUUAUGGCAUGUAUUUGGUGAGAGUCCAGACCCCGUCUUACCCAUCUUUUUAUCAAGGUUGACCUCGGAUCAGGUAGGAAUACCCGCUGAACUUAA